GACCGCGUAGCUCAGUUGGUAGAGCAUUGGGCUAGUAUUCCAAAGGUCGUAGGUUCGAUUCCCACCGUGCCCA
rnacentral:tRNA from 1 species